GAUGAACGCUGGCGGCGUGCCUAAUACAUGCAAGUCGAGCGAACGGACGAGAAGCUUGCUUUUCUGAUGUUAGCGGCGGACGGGUGAGUAACACGUGGAUAACCUACCUAUAAGACUGGGAUAACUUCGGGAAACCGGAGCUAAUACCGGAUAAUAUAUUGAACCGCAUGGUUCAAUAGUGAAAGACGGUUUUGCUGUCACUUAUAGAUGGAUCCGCGCCGCAUUAGCUAGUUGGUAAGGUAACGGCUUACCAAGGCGACGAUGCGUAGCCGACCUGAGAGGGUGAUCGGCCACACUGGAACUGAGACACGGUCCAGACUCCUACGGGAGGCAGCAGUAGGGAAUCUUCCGCAAUGGGCGAAAGCCUGACGGAGCAACGCCGCGUGAGUGAUGAAGGUCUUCGGAUCGUAAAACUCUGUUAUUAGGGAAGAACAAAUGUGUAAGUAACUAUGCACGUCUUGACGGUACCUAAUCAGAAAGCCACGGCUAACUACGUG
rnacentral:rRNA from 1 species